UUUAAUUAAUUUUAAUAUAAUUUGCUAUAAGAGUCUAUUUAAAACUUAAAAGACAAGAAAGAUAAAUUGAAGUUUAAUCUAACAUUUUUCAGUCCAAAAUUUCCACUAAAAAAAGAGUGUUUAUUACAAGAUCAGACGAUGUAAAAUUUGCAAUAGGAACGAUCGUAACACAUCAUAAUAUGUGUGAAGAUAAUUGUACUGGAGUUAUUAUUGGAUGGGAACAACAUACAAACAAAUAUGUUAAAUUCAAAGAAGAAACGAGAGAUAAAAUAUAUGCAGAACUAGAUAUCUUGCCACUGAAUCACUGUUACAAUCAACAGUUUAGAGAUCACGAACAAACCAAUUACAUUAUUCUUACCGAUAACAAUAAAAUCUGUUAUGUGAAUGAAGAUUCUAUAACUUUAACAACGCCGAAAUGGAUCGAUAAUAGCGAAAUAGGUCGUUAUUUUUGCAAAUUCGAACACACGCAUUACAUACCAAAUGAAGGGCUGGCAAGAAUCUAUCCGCAGGACGCUACUAUAGUAGCCUAGAGAACAAUAUCUGACUUUUAGCGACCAUUUAACAGUGGACUGCCUCUUCUCAUCGCGCGUUUUACAAAUUCCUCAAAAAUUGAAAUUCGUACCAUUCUAUAAACCGUACAAGGCCCCACCAGCGGCACCCGUUGUGAAA